AUUGAACGCUGGCGGCAUGCCUAACACAUGCAAGUCGAACGGCAGCACAGCAGUGCUUGCUCUGUGGGUGGCGAGUGGCGGACGGGUGAGUAAUGCAUCGGGACCUACCUCAACGUGGGGGAUAACGUAGGGAAACUUACGCUAAUACCGCAUACGUCCUACGGGAGAAAGCAGGGGACCUUCGGGCCUUGCGCGGUGAGACGGACCGAUGUUCGAUUAGCUAGUUGGUAAGGUAAUGGCUUACCAAGGCGACGAUCGAUAGCUGGUCUGAGAGGAUGAUCAGCCACACUGGAACUGAGACACGGUCCAGACUCCUACGGGAGGCAGCAGUGGGGAAUAUUGGACAAUGGGCGCAGGCCUGAUCCAGCAAUGCCGCGUGUGUGAAGAAGGCCUCGGUU
rnacentral:rRNA from 1 species